GCUGGGUGUGGUGGUGCAUGCCUGUAACCCCCACGGCUCAGGAGGCUGAGACAGGAGGAUCCUGAGUUCAAAGCCAGCCUCAGCAACAGCAAGGCGCUAAGCAACUCAGUGAGUCCCUGUCUCUA
rnacentral:sRNA from 1 species